rnacentral:rRNA from 1 species
AAGCGAGUCUGAAUAGGGCGUUUAGUAUUUGGUCAUAGACCCGAAACCAGGUGAUCUACCCUUGGUCAGGUUGAAGUUCAGGUAACACUGAAUGGAGGACCGAACCGACUUACGUUGAAAAGUGAGCGGAUGAACUGAGGGUAGCGGAGAAAUUCCAAUCGAACCUGGAGAUAGCUGGUUCUCUCCGAAAUAGCUUUAGGGCUAGCCUCAAGUGAUGAUUAUUGGAGGUAGAGCACUGUUUGGACGAGGGGCCCCUCUCGGGUUACCGAAUUCAGACAAACUCCGAAUGCCAAUUAAUUUAACUUGGGAGUCAGAACAUGGGUGAUAAGGUCCGUGUUCGAAAGGGAAACAGCCCAGACCACCAGCUAAGGUCCCAAAAUAUAUGUUAAGUGGAAAAGGAUGUGGCGUUGCCCAGACAACUAGGAUGUUGGCUUAGAAGCAGCCAUCAUUUAAAGAGUGCGUAAUAGCUCACUAGUCGAGUGACACUGCGCCGAAAAUGUACCGGGGCUAAACAUAUUACCGAAGCUGUGGAUUGUCCUUUGGACAAUGGUAGGAGAGCGUUCUAAGGGCGUUGAAGCAUGAUCGUAAGGACAUGUGGAGCGCUUAGAAGUGAGAAUGCCGGUGUGAGUAGCGAAAGACGGGUGAGAAUCCCGUCCACCGAUUGACUAAGGUUUCCAGAGGAAGGCUCGUCCGCUCUGGGUUAGUCGGGUCCUAAGCUGAGGCCGACAGGCGUAGGCGAUGGAUAACAGGUUGAUAUUCCUGUACCACCUAUAAUCGUUUUAAUCGAUGGGGGGACGCAGUAGGAUAGGCGAAGCGUGCGAUUGGAUUGCACGUCUAAGCAGUAAGGCUGAGUAUUAGGCAAAUCCGGUACUCGUUAAGGCUGAGCUGUGAUGGGGAGAAGACAUUGAGUCUUCGAGUCGUUGAUUUCACACUGCCGAGAAAAGCCUCUAGAUAGAAAAUAGGUGCCCGUACCGCAAACCGACACAGGUAGUCAAGAUGAGAAUUCUAAGGUGAGCGAGCGAACUCUCGUUAAGGAACUCGGCAAAAUGACCCCGUAACUUCGGGAGAAGGGGUGCUCUUUAGGGUUAACGCCCAGAAGAGCCGCAGUGAAUAGGCCCAAGCGACUGUUUAUCAAAAACACAGGUCUCUGCUAAACCGUAAGGUGAUGUAUAGGGGCUGACGCCUGCCCGGUGCUGGAAGGUUAAGAGGAGUGGUUAGCUUCUGCGAAGCUACGAAUCGAAGCCCCAGUAAACGGCGGCCGUAACUAUAACGGUCCUAAGGUAGCGAAAUUCCUUGUCGGGUAAGUUCCGACCCGCACGAAAGGCGUAACGAUUUGGGCACUGUCUCAACGAGAGACUCGGUGAAAUCAUAGUACCUGUGAAGAUGCAGGUUACCCGCGACAGGACGGAAAGACCCCGUGGAGCUUUACUGUAGCCUGAUAUUGAAAUUCGGCACAGCUUGUACAGGAUAGGUAGGAGCCUUUGAAACGUGAGCGCUAGCUUACGUGGAGGCGCUGGUGGGAUACUACCCUAGCUGUGUUGGCUUUCUAACCCGCACCACUUAUCGUGGUGGGAGACAGUGUCAGGCGGGCAGUUUGACUGGGGCGGUCGCCUCCUAAAAGGUAACGGAGGCGCUCAAAGGUUCCCUCAGAAUGGUUGGAAAUCAUUCAUAGAGUGUAAAGGCAUAAGGGAGCUUGACUGCGAGACCUACAAGUCGAGCAGGGUCGAAAGACGGACUUAGUGAUCCGGUGGUUCCGCAUGGAAGGGCCAUCGCUCAACGGAUAAAAGCUACCCCGGGGAUAACAGGCUUAUCUCCCCCAAGAGUUCACAUCGACGGGGAGGUUUGGCACCUCGAUGUCGGCUCAUCGCAUCCUGGGGCUGUAGUCGGUCCCAAGGGUUGGGCUGUUCGCCCAUUAAAGCGGUACGCGAGCUGGGUUCAGAACGUCGUGAGACAGUUCGGUCCCUAUCCGUCGUGGGCGUAGGAAAUUUGAGAGGAGCUGUCCUUAGUACGAGAGGACCGGGAUGGACAUACCUCUGGUGUACCAGUUGUCGUGCCAACGGCAUAGCUGGGUAGCUAUGUGUGGACGGGAUAAGUGCUGAAAGCAUCUAAGCAUGAAGCCCCCCUCAAGAUGAGAUUUCCCAACUUCGGUUAUAAGAUCCCUCAAAGAUGAUGAGGUUAAUAGGUUCGAGGUGGAAGCAUGGUGACAUGUGGAGCUGACGAAUACUAAUCGAUCGAAGACUUAAUCAA